rnacentral:rRNA from 1 species
AUUGAACGCUGGCGGCAUGCCUUACACAUGCAAGUCGAACGGCAGCACGGACUUCGGUCUGGUGGCGAGUGGCGAACGGGUGAGUAAUGUAUCGGAACGUACCUUUCAGUGGGGGAUAACGUAGCGAAAGUUACGCUAAUACCGCAUAUUCUGUGAGCAGGAAAGCAGGGGAUCGAAAGACCUUGCGCUGAUUGAGCGGCCGAUAUCAGAUUAGCUAGUUGGUGGGGUAAAGGCCUACCAAGGCGACGAUCUGUAGCGGGUCUGAGAGGAUGAUCCGCCACACUGGAACUGAGACACGGUCCAGACUCCUACGGGAGGCAGCAGUGGGGAAUUUUGGACAAUGGGGGCAAACCUGAUCCAGCCAUGCCGCGUGAGUGAAGAAGGCCUUCGGGUUGUAAAGCUCUUUCGGCCGGGAAGAAAUCGCAUAGGCUAAUACCCUGUGUGGAUGACGGUACCGGAAUAAGAAGCACCGGCUAACUACGUG